UUCUUCAUACCGACUCAUCUCUGUCUCUCAACUAGCUCUCUUCUUCUCUUGGUAUAUGAACUGAACUCAGGUCGACCAAGGAACGACCACCCGGCCGGCGCUCGACGAUGUUGACGAUACCGCAACGGUCGCAGGUCACCGAAUGACUGCACCAGCCGACCAGGCCUGAUUCGCUGCAUCAAUCGAUUCAUUCCUCUCGUUGCCAACGACCAGUACAAGUUCCUCUCUCUCUCUCUCUCUCUCUUGUUUUCUUAUUUAUGUUUUUGUGGAUGGUUAAUCCAAGAUGAGGAAUCAAUUGCUGUGUUGAAUCUGAGCUAUGACUUUCGAUUUCUGAUUUUACGUCUAGCGAUUUGAUUGUUGGAUUUUAGGCUUUGAUUGUUUGUUCUUUGUUAAGGUUGGAGUUUGAUCGUGUUUUUAUUAGGGCUUUGUUGGGGCUGAUUGUUACUUUGCUAGUUAAGGCUUCAAUUUUUCAUUUCAGUAAUUUUAAGGGUGUUGGUAAUAAAUGAUAAUGUCAUUGUUUUGGUACUAAUCCUUUUGUCUUUUGGGUAAGGGGGUUAGUAUCACAUGCAACCAGGCCCCGGCCCUGAGAUUUCUCAGGCCUUAGGCGGGAUUUAAAAAUAGGGCCUCUCAUUUUUCAGUAUAUUUAUUAGUUGUUCAAUAUAGAAAACAAGCUAGCCUUGUGGUUUAGUGCCAAAGUGGUAGAAUUGCCUAAGUUCCGAAGGGCUGGGACAAAUUGUAAAAACCUGCAUUCUUUCGCGAACACUGUUGUUGAUAUCUGGAAAUUGGCAAUAAUUAGUACUCUCUUCAUCUUGAGACUUGUUGCGAUUCGGUUUGUAAAUUGCAAGGUUCCUACGGAUAUAGCUAUCAACCAAAGCCAUUUUCGUUCCGUCUAUAUCUUUCGAUAGCUUCACAAGAACCUUGCUUUGGCCAACAGACGUAGCUCAUGCAACCGCAAGAACAAAACCUUCUUCAUUUAUAACAACACCACCACCAUAUCCAAUGACCUAUCUCGUUACUCAUAUCCUUAUCUUUUCCUUCAUAGACGUACCAGAUCAUAACAACAACCUGUUGCAUUCUGUCAUAAAACGGCUUUGUUUCUUCAGGAAGUAGGCUGUCUCUGCCUUCUGGGAACUGGUGCGCGCCAUAAUUGAUUUCCAUGUAGCUGCAAAUAUGCAACAAAGCAUAAUUGAAAAUCAAUCAAUUAUGUUUGUACAAUUCACAGCUGUUCAAGGAUUAGGCAUCAGACCUACCUUAGACUGAGAAAGAAACCCGUUGAUCCUUGGACCCCUAUCACACCUAAUCUCUACAGCCUCAGAUGAUGGAAACCUACCUCCUGAAAAAUCUCUUAAACCUUGAGAAUGCCCCCUAAGACCCAUGUUAUGCUACCCAGUAUACCAGUGAUCUACUGAUCUUGAGGGACGACCUAUCAGCCCCCAGGUUAAGCUCCGUGGCUCCAGGAAUGGUGAUCAUCACCAAGUACACUGACUUCAUUGUGAAUCUGACCAGCAUCGAUGGAAGUGAGAUGGAUGAGGUUCAGAUGACCUUAAAUUGGUAAAUAUCCACCUCACUCGGAUAAGUUUGUCUAUUUCAAUUUCAUGUUUGUUGAUUGAAUCUAUAUGUGCAUGUGUGUUGUUUGUCCAUCUCAAUGAAAUACCAUCACCUUUGACAGUGCUUGUUCUGUUUCUUUUUAUAGAUUUUGAUUCAAUUAUCUCUGAUAGAAAUAUUAACGCAAUAACUGUUCAUACUUUACAGCCCUAUGUAAUCUUGCUCUUGCUCAUUGAAGUGAACAGAAGUAGCAGCUUUUCGUCUAGAACAGUUGAUCUAAGCAACUCAUCGUACAUAUAUGUAUUACUUUCCUCUCUUAGAUUCCCUUACUAAUCUUAUAUAUUUUAGCUCUGAUUUCCGUUUAUAUGUUCAUUAUAUUUGAGUCUCAAAUUAAUUCCCUGUUCUUAAAUAUUUAGGGCUUCUUUUAAUUUCUGAUUAACAAGUAAAGUUUUGGGCAAUUGAAGUCGCUGAUAGAGGAUCAUGGCAAAAAAGAAGAUGGCAAUCAGUUCCUAGAAGGAAUGGUAAAGAGUGUAGUAAUGUGAAGAACUGCAGCGAGAGUAAGCCCAGAGUUGGUGUAGGAGACUCAGAAAAGCCUGAAGGAUAAUGAGACGCAGUCUUUGUUGCCACCUGGCCCACCUCGACGGUGUGGAUUAUCCAAGAAUUCAGGAAAUCCACGGCAGAAGGUCCAUUGGAUUAUAGAAACGAGAAUAAGCUUGCAGAGAGCGCAUGACACCUCAUUUACAAUAUUCUCUGGAUUGGGAACAGCUUGUUGGGUCUUUUUGCUAGAUCUACAGAAGAUCGGUUGUACCCUUCUUAAAGCAGGGUGAUGAGGUUAUAGGUAGACAUCAUGUCUUUGUGGAGAGUCCGAUUAACAUGCAUCACUUGUUACCACUCCAUGUCACGACUUCUGUGGUGGUUUAACUUAAUAUGUGAAACUCGGUUUGUGAUUUUAGUUUUCAGAAGAAAAAAAAAGACUAACCAAAGAAAAACGGAUACAAUAUUACGAUGUGUUUCAUGAAUUGACUUGAUUUUUAUUGUGUUGAAGGAUUGCUUAAUUUGCUUGGCAUUCUCAUUUAGUGUUGUCAUUUGAUGUAUUUGUGGCCCCAGCUAAGUUUGGUUUGUCCAUUAAUCAAGUGACUGAAGUAUUGUCAAUAUCGCAAGCGAAGGAUAGAUUGUGUACAAGCGUUAAGAGUCCUUUUUCUCCUAGGGUUAGGGAUAUUAGUGUUGUCAUUUGAUGUAUUUGUGGCCCCAGCUAAGUUUGGUUUGUCCAUUAGUCAAGUGACUGAAGUAUUGUCAACAUCGCAAGUGAAGGAUAUACCGUGUACAAGCGUUAAGAGUCCUUUUUCUCCUAGGGUUAAGGAACAUAGUGUAGUUGGAAGGUAGAAAGCAAGCAAGCUAGCAUAGCAUUGGUAGUAGCUAGCCUAUAAAUGCUAAUAUCCACAUAGAUGGAACUAGACUCAUAGCAGAAAUAGAGUAUUGAUUAUAUUUUUCAUAUUGUUUCAUGUUAGUUUCCUAUUACACUUUGUGCUGUUAAAAUGAUGGAACUCAUGGGAGUACCAAAAGUAAUUGAGCUUAGUAAUUCAGCUUGGUGGAACUCAUGAGGCACAAGACCAUUCAGAAACACUUCUAGCUUUACCUCCAAAUACUCCAAAUAAAAAAAACAAAAAGGGAGAGCACAAACAAACAAUACCUGUUGCUUAACAAACCUACACACUCAUAUAUAGGUAGAUGAUGUAACCCGAUUAAGUUUGAAUUCAAUAUAAAAAUAAUACCAAACUGAUGAAAGAUGUCUUUAAGUUUUUCUUUGUUG